rnacentral:lncRNA from 1 species
ACCAAUCCUUUAAAUAUCAGUUUUCAAAAUCUUUUCAUAUUCUUUACUUAUUGUUAUCUGGCUCCAGGACAUACCACUCCAAUAAGUGAUUUGAAAUGCCAAAUGCCAAUGAUGACCUGACAGUCAGCCCUCUGUACACAUUUUUAGAUCCAAAGUGGAUAGUGAACGGCAAGACUUGA